rnacentral:rRNA from 1 species
UGAGCAAUCUGCCCUUCUCAGCGGAAUAAGCGUUGGAAACGACGUCUAAUGCCGAAUACGACCUCCUUUCGCAUGAUCGGAGGUGGAAAGCUCCGGCGGAGAAGGAUGAGCUCGCGGCCUAUCAGCUAGUUGGUGUGGGUAAUGGCCCACCAAGGCGACGACGGGUAGCCGGCCUGAGAGGGUGACCCGGCCACACUGGGACUGAGACACGGCCCAGACCUCCGUACGGGAGCA